AGCCUGUGAUGUUAUCAAAAUAUUUGCUACUCUUAAUGGGUUUAUCCCACUUUAUGAUCUUAACCACCAAGAUCUCUGAGGCU
rfam:Triticum aestivum genome assembly, contig: Triticum_aestivum_CS42_TGACv1_scaffold_131364_2BL